GGAGAUAGAAGGGGGGAAAGGAUUGAUUUAAGGAGGCACUUUGGUGGAUCCUCAGAGAAUAAAAGAGGUCCUCUUCUCUACAGACAAAGCCAUCAGCCAUCAGACCAGGGAAGGACAAGCACAAGCACGAAUAGGAGGCCUGCCACACAUGGGCCUUAAAAGACUUCAGUGCUGCAGGAAACUUCACACUGCUACUGUGUACCAUCUGGGACAUGCAAGCUGUUGGACUGAGGACUGUUGGACAAAAAGAUUGGAGAGGUGGACUUGCCUUCCUGCUACAUCACCUCCUGUGUUCUCCCAAACCCCAGGAAACAGAUAUUGGAACAAUCUCUGCCAACCACAUUGAUUCAACCUGUACAAUUCUGCCAAGGGGGAGACAGAGCUUCUUUGCCUAGGGCAAAAUAUGAGUGUUCUUGCUGCUAAGGCUUACUGGUCCCAGUAGUGGCAUAAAGAGGAGAAGUGCAUCCAUACAACCGGAAAAGCAAGGUAGGAGAGCUCUCUUUUCCUCCUACCUUGGUUAAAAGCAGCAUACAAAAACUGGGCUGCCUGGCUUUGAGGAACCUGGGAUUUUUGUUUGUUCACACAA